rnacentral:rRNA from 1 species
GAUGAACGCUGGCGGCGUGCCUAAUACAUGCAAGUCGAGCGAACGGACGAGAAGCUUGCUUCUCUGAUGUUAGCGGCGGACGGGUGAGUAACACGUGGAUAACCUACCUAUAAGACUGGGAUAACUUCGGGAAACCGGAGCUAAUACCGGAUGAUAUUUUGAACCGCAUGGUUCAAAAGUGAAAGACGGUCUUGCUGUCACUUAUAGAUGGAUCCGCGCUGCAUUAGCUAGUUGGUAAGGUAACGGCUUACCAAGGCAACGAUGCAUAGCCGACCUGAGAGGGUGAUAGGCCACACUGGAACUGAGACACGGUCCAGACUCCUACGGGAGGCAGCAGUAGGGAAUGUUCGGCAAUGGGCGAAAGCCUGACGGAGCAACGCCGCGUGAGUGAUGAAGGUCUUCGGAUCGUAAAACUCUGUUAUUAGGGAAGAACAUAUGUGUAAGUAACUGUGCACAGCUUGACGGUACCUAAUCAGAAAGCCACGGCUAACUACGUG